UGAGCAUUCAGCCGGGAGGCAAAAAGGUCGAUGUGCAUAGGUCCCCAGAGUUGGUGGAGCUUCUGGAAUAUUGUGCGAUUCAAUCGCCAUGCGCUGUUGUCUCGUAAAUGCCUGGAGUUCCAAUCCGCUACGGUGUUGGAGAGUCCUGGGAGGUAUUCCGCCUGUACUGAUAUGUUGCGACUCAGGCUGAAAUGCCAAAAUUCCGUCGCCAAGUUUGUGAGGGUUGAGGAUCUCGUGCCACCCAAGUGGUUGAUGUAGCGGACGGCUGAGAUAUUGUCCAUGCGCAGAAGUAUGGAACAAUUGGUCGUGUGUCCGAGGAGGCUCCGUAGGGCAAAUGACCCAGCCAGGAGUUCCAAACCAAUGAUGUGGAGUUCUUUUUCUUCUGAAGACCAUUUUCCACCUGUAGAGGUAGGACCACAACGAGCCCCCCAUCCAAGUCUGCUCGCGUCGGAUUCUAUAACGAGAUCCGGAGUGGUUCCGAAGAUUGCCUUGCCGUUCCAUGCUUCCAUGUGUUGAAGCCACCAUGCCAGUUCCUCUUUUGCCGCGCAGUCUAGAGGUACAGAAUCUGAAUAGGAUUGACCCAAGCGUAGGUGGGUUGCUUUGAGCUGUUGCAGGGAUCUGUAGUGGAGAG